rnacentral:rRNA from 1 species
AUUGAACGCUGGCGGCAUUCCUUACACAUGCAAGUCGAACGGCAGCAUGGCGAGCUUGCUCUCUGAUGGCGAGUGGCGAACGGGUGAGUAAUGCAUCGGAACGUACCGUGUAAUGGGGGAUAACGUAGCGAAAGUUACGCUAAUACCGCAUACGACCUGAGGGUGAAAGCAGGGGAUCGCAAGACCUUGCGUUAUACGAGCGGACGAUGUCAGAUUAGAUAGUUGGUGAGGUAAAGGCUGACCAAGGCGACGAUCUGUAGCGGGUCUGAGAGGAUGAUCCGCCACACUGGGACUGAGACACGGCCCAGACUCCUACGGGAGGCAGCAGUGGGGAAUUUUGGACAAUGGGGGCAACCCUGAUCCAGCCAUGCCGCGUGAGUGAAGAAGGCCUUCGGGUUGUAAAGCUCUUUCGGCCGGGAAGAAAUCGCACAGGCUAAUACUCUGUGUGGAUGACGGUACCGGCAUAAGAAGCACCGGCUAACUACGUGCCAGCCGCCGCAGUAA